UACGUAGGGGGCUAGCGUUGUCCGGAUUUAUUGGGCGUAAAGGGCUCGUAGGCGGCCAACUAAGUCGGACGUGAAAUCCCUCGGCUUAACCGGGGAACUGCGUCCGAUACUGGAUGGCUUGAGUUUGGGAGAGGGAUGCGGAAUUCCAGGUGUAGCGGUGAAAUGCGUAGAUAUCUGGAGGAACACCGGUGGCGAAAGCGGCUCACUGGACCAACACUGACGCUGAGUGAGCGAAAGCCAGGGGAGCAAACGGG
rnacentral:rRNA from 1 species